CAGUUCGGAUUNAAGGCUGAAAUUCGCCUUCAUGAAGCCGGAAUUGCUAGUAAUGGCAGGUCAGCAUACUGCCGUGAAUACGUUCCCGGGCCUUGUACACACCGCCCGUCACACCAUGAGAGUUGGGAAUACCCGAAGCCUGUGAGCUAACUUUUAGAGGCAGCAGUCGAAGGUAGAAUCAAUGAUUGGGGUGAAGUCGUAACAAGGUAGC
rnacentral:rRNA from 1 species